rnacentral:lncRNA from 1 species
CAAUUCAUUGAUGUCCCAUAACCCACAUACAUUUUUACACGUAAGGUCACAUGGCCAAUCACAUAACAUGACUAACAAUUGACUACCAGUGGAGUGACUCUUAGGUGCAGAAGGUAUUAUUGAAUGCCUUGGUCAUUGAGUCUACCAUGUUGUGCACACAAAUCGCUCACAUGUCUAUAUCUCAAGUAGCUUCGAGUCUACAAAACAUGAGAGUUUAAAAAUGUGAGUACAAUUACUCAGUGAGUGAUAUAGAGGGGAACAAGCAACAGCUCUAGAAGGUUUAUAAACCAUGCACAUUUUCCUAAGCAAAUCCAUGAUACAUUUGGAAUUCAACCCAAUAAAAACUUACAUGUAUUAUCUUAAACUCACCCAUUGGUGUCAUUCAUAGGCUUUGGCAUAUUACCUAGCUCGUACCUUACAUACAAAUUUAUACAAUAAUGAACUAUAAUGUGCCAAGAUAUAGUAAAUGGGCAGACUUCUUAGGAAGCUUUUAAAUAUUACCUGACCUAUCUCUAUAUCUCA